UACAGAGGUCUCAAGCGUUGUUCGGAUUCAUUGGGCGUAAAGGGUGCGUAGGCGGCGCGGUAAGUCGGGUGUGAAAUCUCGGGGCUUAACUCCGAAACUGCAUUCGAUACUGAAAGGCUUGAAUCCGGGAGAGGGAUGUGGAAUUCCAGGUGUAGCGGUGGAAUGCGCAGAUAUCGGGAAGAACACCGAUGGCGAAGGCAGACCUCUGGGCCGACACUGACGCUGAGGCGCGAAAGCUAGGGGAGCGAACAGG
rnacentral:rRNA from 1 species